rnacentral:rRNA from 1 species
GAUGAACGCUGGCGGCGUGCCUAAUACAUGCAAGUCGAGCGAACGGACGAGAAGCUUGCUUCUCUGAUGUUAGCGGCGGACGGGUGAGUAACACGUGGAUAACCUACCUAUAAGACUGGGAUAACUUCGGGAAACCGUAGCUAAUACCGGAUAAUAUUUUGAACCGCAUGGUUCAAAAGUGAAAGACGGUCUUGCUGCCACUUAUAGAUGGAUCCGCGCUGCAUUAGCUAGUUGGUAAGGUAACGGCUUACCAAGGCAACGAUGCAUAGCCGACCUGAGAGGGUGAUCGGCCACACUGGAACUGAGACACGGUCCAGACUCCUACGGGAGGCAGCAGUAGGAAAUCUUCCGCAAUGGGCGAAAGCCUGACGGAGCAACGCCGCGUGAGUGAUGAAGGUCUUCGGAUCGUAAAACUCUGUUAUUAGGGAAGAACAUAUGUGUAAGUAACUGUGCACAUCUUGACGGUACCUAAUCAGAAAGCCACGGCUAACUACGUG